rnacentral:lncRNA from 1 species
CCAUUUCGGAACCUACGAGUGGCCACCUCCUCGAAGAUCUGAUGGCCAACCUCCUCAUCCUGAGGAGUCUCGAAUCGAUAGUACUCCUACAGAUAGAAGCAAGCAUUUAUUAAUAAAUAAAAUACAAACCUAUCAUAAAUUUAAAAAUUAAAUACCUUGAACUAACCAAGAACAUCUCCCAAGCUGCAUCACGAGCCUCCAACGGUCAACUAGAGAACUCAUCCACCGGCCCC